CAGCAGCCGCGGUAAUACGUAGGUGGCAAGCGUUGUCCGGAAUUAUUGGGCGUAAAGCGCGCGCAGGCGGUUUCUUAAGUCUGAUGUGGAAGCCCCCGGCUCAACCGGGGAGGGUCAUUGGAAACUGGGAAACUUGAGUGCAGAAGAGGAGAGUGGAAUUCCACGUGUAGCGGUGAAAUGCGUAGAGAUGUGGAGGAACACCAGCGGCGAAGGCGACUCUCUGGUCUGUAACUGACGCUGAGGAGCGAAAGCGUGGGGAGCGAACAGGAUUAGAUACCCGCGUAGUCCCUGUCUCUUAUAC
rnacentral:rRNA from 1 species